rnacentral:lncRNA from 1 species
GCAGAUUUACAAUUCUUCAAGCUAAAAGCCCACUUGAAUAUUUGGAAAGAUUCAGCAUUGGGGUGUAUGUGUAUACAUAAUAGGUGGUGGCAAUCUAGUAAGAUUUAACGAUACUGUCUGACUGGAGCUGGAAAGCAGUGAGUAUGGCUGCUAUCGGAGAGGAGAGAGAAAAUCAAUCUCUGUGAGCUGCUAUUAUCCAGAAGAAAUGGAGAGCUCCCAAUGACCAGGCAUUCCACCGAGCAGCAGGGCUUACUUGCCUCUGCUCUCAUUGAAAACCGCACAGAGCAUGCAACACUUUGCUCACUCCAAAACUUUAUGACUUUCUUCAAUUUCAAGCAAUGUUGAAUGCUGACUCAAUAAAAUACAACCAAAACAACUUGU